UGCGUAGGCGGGUCUUUAAGUCAGGGGUGAAAUCCUGGAGCUCAACUCCAGAACUGCCUUUGAUACUGAAGAUCUUGAGUUCGGGAGAGGUGAGUGGAACUGCGAGUGUAGAGGUGAAAUUCGUAGAUAUUCGCAAGAACACCAUGGCGAAGGCGGCUCACUGGCCCGAUACUGACGCUGAGGCACGAAAAGCGUGGGGGAGCAAACA
rnacentral:rRNA from 1 species